rnacentral:rRNA from 1 species
GAUCCUGGCUCAGGAUGAACGCUAGCUACAGGCUUAACACAUGCAAGUCGAGGGGCGGCAUGGUCUUAGCUUGCUAAGACCGAUGGCGACCGGCGCACGGGUGAGUAACGCGUAUCCAACCUGCCUUACACUCUUGGACAGCCUUCUGAAAGGGAGAUUAAUACAAGAUGUUAUCAUGAGUAAGCAUUUUCGCAUGAUUAAAGGUUUACCGGUGUAAGAUGGGGAUGCGUUCCAUUAG